rnacentral:rRNA from 1 species
AGUGAACGCUGGCGGUAGGCCUAACACAUGCAAGUCGAACGGCAGCACAGUAAGAGCUUGCUCUUACGGGUGGCGAGUGGCGGACGGGUGAGGAAUACAUCGGAAUCUACUUUUUCGUGGGGGCUAACGUAGGGAAACUUACGCUAAUACCGCAUACGACCUACGGGUGAAAGCAGGGGAUCUUCGGACCUUGCGCGAUUGAAUGAGCCGAUGUCGGAUUAGCUAGUUGGCGGGGUAAAGGCCCACCAAGGCGACGAUCCGUAGCUGGUCUGAGAGGAUGAUCAGCCACACUGGAACUGAGACACGGUCCAGACUCCUACGGGAGGCAGCAGUGGGGAAUAUUGGACAAUGGGCGCAAGCCUGAUCCAGCCAUACCGCGUGGGUGAAGAAGGCCUUCGGGUUGUAAAGCCCUUUUGUUGGGAAAGAAAAGCAGCAGGUUAAUACCCCGCUGUUCUGACGGUACCCAAAGAAUAAGUACCGGCUAACUUCGUG